UACGAAGGGGGCUAGCGUUGCUCGGAAUCACUGGGCGUAAAGCGCACGUAGGCGGCUUUCUAAGUCAGGGGUGAAAUCCUGGAGCUCAACUCCAGAACUGCCUUUGAUACUGGAGAGCUUGAGUCCGGAAGAGGUGAGUGGAACUCCGAGUGUAGAGGUGAAAUUCGUAGAUAUUCGGAAGAAACACCAGUGGCGAAGGCGGCUCACUGGUCCGGUACUGACGCUGAGGUGCGAAAGCGUGGGGAGCAAACAGGG
rnacentral:rRNA from 1 species